rnacentral:rRNA from 1 species
GUCCUCUUGUUUAUAUAUGAGGUCUGACCUGCCCGGUGAAAUUUGUUUUAACGGCCGCAGUAUUUUGACUGUGCAAAGGUAGCAUAAUCAUUAGUCUUUUAAUAGGGGGCUGGUAUGAAGGGUUUGACGAGGUGUUUACUGUCUCAUUUAAUUUGUAUUUAGAAUUUAACUUUUCAGUUAAAAGGCUGAAAUUAUAUUGGAAGACGAGAAGACCCUAUAGAGCUUUAUAAUUAAAAUUUUAAUUAUUUUUUGUUUAUUAUUUUUUAUUAUUAUUUUAAUUAUUUUGUUGGGGUGACAAAAAUAUAUAAUUAACUUUUCUAUUUAAUUAACAUUGAUUUAUGAUUAUUAGAUCCAUUAUUAGUGAUUGUUAGAUUAAGUUACC